GUGGGGAAUAUUGCACAAUGGGCGCAAGCCUGAUGCAGCAACGCCGCGUGAGGGACGACGGCCUUCGGGUUGUAAACCUCUUUUAGCAGGGAAGAAGCGAAAGUGACGGUACCUGCAGAAAAAGCACCGGCUAACUACGUGCCAGCAGCCGCGGUAAUACGUAGGGUGCAAGCGUUAUCCGGAAUUAUUGGGCGUAAAGAGCUCGUAGGCGGUCUGUCGCGUCUGCUGUGAAAACUGGAGGCUCAACCUCCAGCCUGCAGUGGGUACGGGCAGACUAGAGUGCGGUAGGGGAGAUUGGAAUUCCUGGUGUAGCGGUGGAAUGCGCAGAUAUCAGGAGGAACACCGAUGGCGAAGGCAGAUCUCUGGGCCGUAACUGACGCUGAGGAGCGAAAGCGUGGGGAGCGAACAGGAUUAGAUACCCGAGUAGUCC
rnacentral:rRNA from 1 species